rnacentral:rRNA from 1 species
UACGUAGGGGGCAAGCGUUGUCCGGAUUUAUUGGGCGUAAAGAGCGUGUAGGCGGCCAUACAGGUCCGUUGUGAAAACUGGAGGCUUAACCUCCAGACGUCGAUGGAAACCGUAUGGCUAGAGUCCGGAAGAGGCAAUCAGAAUUCUUGGUGUAGCGGUGAAAUGCGUAGAUAUCAAGAGGAAUACCUGAGGUGAAGACGGGUUGCUAGGCCGACACUGACGCUGAAGCGCGAAAGCCAGGGGAGCAAACGGG